UUUCACCACGUUGGCCAGGCUGGUUUCGAACUCCCGACCUCGGGUGAUCCACCCGCCUCAGCUUCCCAAAGUGCCAAGAUUACAGGCAUGAGCCACCAUGCCUGGCCACUAUUUAUUGUUCUUCUCUUGCAGCAAUGCUGAAUCCAGUCUGCUCCCACCUAUAGUUUCCAUGAUGGAAGAAUUAGAGACUUAAACACAGAAAUGAAUUACCUCUGUUAACCCUAACCCCAGAACACUGAGGCCACAGGAAAUACAACCGCAGUGACCUGGACUUCUGCGUGAGUCAUGAUCAGUACAUAUUAGGUCACAGCUAGUCAACGCUUUAUCACAUGGUGGUGACAUUUCAGUUUCAUAUGAGAGGGCUCUCAGUGAAGUGCGUGCACUAAAAAUGUCAUGCUGGAAAACACCCGUGAUCUAUCUAAAACAUUGUUUCAGUGCCCUCUUAUUUUUUGUUUUACUUUUUUUAAAUCCCAGAGAGCAAUACCAUGGAAUAUUUCAUUAGACCUUUUUACUCAAGAUCCAUGUUAAAAAGUUGAGGCUGUACCUCCAAUAUCUUUUAUUUUCCUUAGUAACUUGUUAUGCGACCCCACUGCCUGUGAAUAUAUCCAAAGAUUAUUCUGUGUUUUAAUCUGAACUCACUUUGAAGCUAUUUAUAUGUUUGGCAUGGUAACGCAAUGGAGAUAAUAAAUUCCAUGCAGGUCUGACUCAGCUUUGAAAGCAGUUUUCUUAGUGACACCUUCCUCAGGAUUCCCUGAGCUAACAUUAUGGGAUCUGGUAAAUAUGCAAUGCAUUAGAAACGUACUGGGGGAAAUGCUCUUCAAAGCAUUGCCCUAGACGAAGCACCAUGUAGGCAUUUAGAAGCAAGAAAUAGUGAAAUCAGAAAAUGCUGUCAUACCUACUCACCACUGAACGGUCGUACGAAGGAUCCCCAAGCGCAGGCUGGACUCGUCCUGGAAGCAGAGGAUUGGAUUCCAUCAGGAGAAGAGGCAAGUAGAAAUGCCAAAUGCCAGCGUUCCCUCCGCCAGCUCAUCUUAUUUAGCAGACACACAGAUUUUGGAAUCCUCCAGGACUAACAAUAAAAACCACACUAGGUUGUUUUCCUAAUUCCUAUGAAAUGAGUCAGUAGGUCAAACAUCUUAUCCACUCCGGACAGAGAACAGUUCCUUGAGCUCCACUCCCUGUUUCCAGUAACCCUAUUCCCUGUCUGGGCCCCUGGAUAACAGUGCUGCCAAUAAUGCAUGGAGACCUCACCGGGCUCUGAGAGAGCCACGUGGAGAUCGACAGAAAGUUAGCUGCCUUCACGGGAUAGUUUCCCUUAUGAAUAUUUAGGAAGAAAAAAGUCCACUUAAGAGUAACAUGAGGAUCAAGUUUCUUCAUUUAAAGAGUCAGCAUAACUUUUUCUCUGUUGAGACUAUUUCUUUCUUUCAUACAGGAGGACCUGAAUGAUGCUGAAAAUAAAUAUAGAAAAUAUAGUAACUGUACCUUUAAAAGCCCCACAAACCACUUCCUUCUGUAAAACACCCUUUCCUCCUCCAAAGGUCUAGUAUAUUCAAAAGAUUCACUGAUUAUUCGAAGAAUUCAUAUUCUUAAAAACCCUUCACAGCUGUCUGAGUCCUGCAGUUCCAUGCUCUGUAUCAUAUAAAGCAGAAGUGUUUAAGAGCUUGCUAGCCAUCCUUUAAAUCCAUGACUCAAGACGACCAACACUGGGUUACCAAUAACCUUCAGAAACUACCACCUACUCACCGAGUGUAACCGUUCUUGUAGUUAGCGACCUUUGCAUAGGAAAUCACCAGCUCCUGGCAAUGAAUCCAUACUUCCAAGAACUCACGAAUUCAGGCAAAUAUAUGGACAUACAUCUCUAAAUAGAGAUACAGAGGUCUGCUGUGACAGUUCAGUAGGAGACUGGAAAUACUUUUGCUUUCUGUAUCGACAGUACUUUCUUUCCUUUUUAAAGAGAAGGUUUCGUUUUGAUCUUGAGAAAUUCUGAUAAAACCACCAACUGAAAACCUGCCAUUGUAAAGGAGGGAUUUCACAACGUUCAUUCCAAAAAACUGUGGCUAUUCAUUUGUGGAAGUGAUUCACUGCAAAAGAAUCGCUGUUUGGGGGUGGAGGGAGCGUUGAUUUUUAGAAGCCAGCCUGCCCUCUGGAAAGUGAGCAGGAACCUCCGAGAUGGCAGCCACGUGCCUUCUGACCCCCAGCCCUGCUCCCUGAAUCACCACCACUUGAGAUGACAUGCAGUGACCAAUUUCCUCUUAAAACUCCCCUCUGUAUACAAAAACCCUAUGAUCCAUGCACCCUGCGUCUAAUCCUCUGCGAUGGGGCCAGUCUGCAGAUCCGUCUGGGCGGGCUGCAGUAGCAUUCUCCACCUGCCAACACUCAGUUGCUGGUGAGUAACCAGCAUACGGACA